UACGUAGGGCGCAAGCGUUGUCCGGAAUUAUUGGGCGUAAAGAGCUCGUAGGCGGUUUGUCGCGUCUGGUGUGAAGACUCAAGGCUCAACCUUGAGCUUGCAUCGGGUACGGGCAGACUAGAGUGCGGUAGGGGUGACUGGAAUUCCUGGUGUAGCGGUGGAAUGCGCAGAUAUCAGGAGGAACACCGAUGGCGAAGGCAGGUCACUGGGCCGCAACUGACGCUGAGGAGCGAAAGCAUGGGGAGCGAACAGG
rnacentral:rRNA from 1 species